GCAACUUGCCGUUUGGAUAUAUCCUAUCUGUGUUUGUGCCCUCACUCAUGGUCCAGACUUUUUUCAAAUAGGACAUGUAGUUUGUCUGCAGCGAGUGUUUUGGUAGAAACUGCGCCUCCCAUUCAUUAUAAUGGGAAAUGACCACAGACAAGUGCGCACACCAUCUUUGGACCUUGAGUGUGACGCGAUCGGGAGGGGGAGGCGGUCGCACUGGGGGUGGCGCAACGCGGCUCGGGCCCGCCAGUGCCCCAACGGGGCCCUAGUUUCUUUUUCCUCCCCUUUGAACUGGAAAAUGGCCCACUUCCCACUGGCGAAAACUCAUGAAAUUUGGCAGGACGACCGGGCCUGGUGAAAAAUUUGAUAUUCUGAAGUCGCCCAAACAAUAAAAUGCAAAAUGGCUCCAUAGCGCCCCCUAAGAUGAAAAUUCACACUAUUGACUGUCACGGCUGUACGCUUUGUCAUAUUGACACAAAAUUUGACACACAUGUAUCUCAAUGAGAUCUACAAAAAAGUCAAUGCUGGCGUAUCUGUCAAAUUUACGGUUAAAGGGUUAUUUCGCAUUUUUUGCCGAUCCACACACAUCGGAAUUUCGCUAACUCCUCUGAAGACUUUCGUUCCAUCGGCACAACAUUUGCUAAGGUCAAUCUACACCCCAUGGCCAUUAAAAGUUAUUCAAAUCAUGACGCUGCACCCCACGGUUUAGGUUCUAGGGGGCGCCAAAGAUAACCCUAAAAUCCACAUAUUUAAAAGUCUUAUAACUUUUUAUUUUUGUCCUCACUGGCCUCCAAGUUUUCUAGGAUGAUGCAAUGUCCAGCCAUCAACACAUUUGUGAAGGAAUUUUUACUCCCCAAAAGAGCGCCCCCCCAUGGCAGGAGAAAAAAGUCAAUUUUUUCUUGUCCCCCAAGGUCAAAAUUCACAUUGUUGAGUGUCACACCUAUACGCUUUGUCAUAUUGACACAAAAUUUGACAAUCACGUGUAUCUCAAUAAGAUCUACGAAAAAGUCAAUGCGCGCGUAUCUGUCAAAUGUACGGUUAAAGGGUUAUUGCGCAUUUUUUGCCGAUCCGCACACAUUGGAAUGUGGUUAACUCCUCCUAAGGCUUUCGUUCCACUGGCACCACAUUUGCUCAGGCCAGUCUACACCCCAUGGCCAUUAAAAGUAAUUCAAAUCAUGACGCUGCACCCCACGGUUUAGGUUCUAGGGGGCGCCAAAGAUAACCCUAAAAUCCACAUAUUUAAAAGUCUUAUAACUUUUUAUUUUUGUCCUCUCUGGCCUCCAAGUUUUCUAGGAUGAUGCAAUGUCCAGCCAUCAACACAUUUGUGAAGGAAUUUUUACUCCCCAAAAGAGCGCCCCCCCAUGGCAGGAGAAAAAAGACAAUUUUUUCUUGUCCCAUAAGGUGAAAAUACACAUUGUUGACUGUCAUACCUGUAUGCUUUGUCAUAUUGACACAAAAUUUGACACACACAUGUAUCUCAAUAAGAUCUAUGAAAAAGUCAAUGCGCGCGUAUCUGUAAAAUGUACGGUUAAAGGGCUAUUUUGCAUUUUUUGCCGAUUAGCACACAUUGGAAUGUGGCUAACUCCUCCUAAGGCUUUCGUCCCACUGACACCAAAUUUGCUCAGGCCAAUCUACACCCCAUGGCCAUUCAAAGUUUUAAAAAUCAUGACGCUGCACCCCACGGUUUACGUUCUAGGGGGCGCCAAAGAUGACCCAAAUAUCCACAUUCUUAAAAGAAUCCACAUCCCCCACCCCAUCCCCCCCCCCCCCCCCAUCCCCCAUCCCCCAUGGCAGGAGAAACAGUCAAGUUUUUCCUGCCCAUCACUCAAUGGCUCAAUCGCAUCGCUCUCCCGGCAACACCGUAACGAGGAGCAACUUGCCGUUUGGAUAUAUCCUAUCUGUGUUUGUGCCCUCACUCAUGGUCCAGACUUUUUUCAAAUAGGACAUGUAGUUUGUCUGCAGCGAGUGUUUUGGUAGAAACUGCGCCUCCCAUUCAUUAUAAUGGGAAAUGACCACAGACAAGUGCGCACACCAUCUUUGGACCUUGAGUGUGACGCGAUCGGGAGGGGGAGGCGGUCGCACUGGGGGUGGCGCAACGCGGCUCGGGCCCGCCAGUGCCCCAACGGGGCCCUAGUUUCUUUUUCCUCCCCUUUGAACUGGAAAAUGGCCCACUUCCCACUGGCGAAAACUCAUGAAAUUUGGCAGGACGACCGGGCCUGGUGAAAAAUUUGAUAUUCUGAAGUCGCCCAAACAAUAAAAUGCAAAAUGGCUCCAUAGCGCCCCCUAAGAUGAAAAUUCACACUAUUGACUGUCACGGCUGUACGCUUUGUCAUAUUGACACAAAAUUUGACACACAUGUAUCUCAAUAAGAUCUACAAAAAAGUCAAUGCUGGCGUAUCUGUCAAAUUUACGGUUAAAGGGUUAUUUCGCAUUUUUUGCCGAUCCACACACAUCGGAAUUUCGCUAACUCCUCUAAAGACUUUCGUUCCAUCGGCACAACAUUUGCUCAGGUCAAUCUACACCCCAUGGCCAUUAAAAGUUAUUCAAAUCAUGACGCUGCACCCCAUGGUUUAGGUUCUAGGGGGCGCCAAAGAUAACCCUAAAAUCCACAUAUUUAAAAGUCUUAUAACUUUUUAUUUUUGUCCUCACUGGCCUCCAAGUUUUCUAGGAUGAUGCAAUGUCCAGCCAUCAACACAUUUGUGAAGGAAUUUUUACUCCCUAAAAGAGCGCCCCCCCAUGGCAGGAGAAAAAAGUCAAUUUUUUCUUGUCCCCUAAGGUCAAAAUUCACAUUGUUGAGUGUCACACCUAUACGCUUUGUCAUAUUGACACAAAAUUUGACAAUCACGUGUAUCUCAAUAAGAUCUACGAAAAAGUCAAUGUGCGCGUAUCUGUCAAAUGUACGGUUAAAGGGCUAUUUUGCAUUUUUUGCCGAUUCGCACACAUUGGAAUGUGGCUAACUCCUCCUAAGGCUUUCGUCCCACUGACACCAAAUUUGCUCAGGCCAAUCUACACCCCA